UCUUUUAUUUCCAUCACACACUAGCAACCAACCGUCUAUAUCCUUAUCCUUCUCUGUGUAAAACAAUUCUAGCUCACCACCAUUAAUAAUCUCUCUUAAAUUCGUUUCAGUUUCAAAAUAAGAACAACUUUUUUUGGGGUGAACCUUAAGUUCUCCCAUUUCGAAUCGGCAUUCCAUCAGGGUCUGUAAUUUCAAAAAGAAACUCCACUUUUUAUUACACUCUCUUCAUAAAUGUUUACAAUUUUAUAUUGUUCCUGUUUUUCACUUUGCUUACUGAUCUAUUAUUGAUCAAAGGUGAAUCAAUUCAAGGAAAUGAGAGAAUCGGACUACGAUUGUUACUUUAUGAAUUUGAAAUUUGGAAGGAAAAAGGAAGCUGUUUAGAGUCUCAACUUGCAUGAACAAAUUUGAUUGAUGGGUUUGUAUCCGUAUUUUUCGUAUUGAAACCGUAGGCUGGGCUGGAUCGUAUAUCGGUAAUGGGUUAAAAAAACAGGGCCCAUAACCCGUCGUCUUCUCCACACAUGAGAUUCCUGGAGUUCUUUAUGAACUCUGUUUUUUACAGGAAAAGUGAUUUCUAAAUAUGAAAUUUGUUCGAUUUGAAUGAAAUAAAAUGUUCAAUAACUUAAAUGGGGACUUCUAUGUUGUAUCUGCAUUGAACUGAAAUCAAAAUAUCUUGUAUUGAUUCUUUGAAUUGGAUUUUGAAGGUUAGAAUUGAUUUUAUUAUAUA